rnacentral:rRNA from 1 species
GUGCCAGCCGCCGCGGUAAUACGGAAGGUCCGGGCGUUAUCCGGAUUUAUUGGGUUUAAAGGGAGCGCAGGCCGAAGGUUAAGCGUGACGUGAAAUGUAGCCGCUCAACGGCUGAACUGCGUCGCGAACUGGCUUUCUUGAGUGAGUUCGAUGUAGGCGGAAUUCGUGGUGUAGCGGUGAAAUGCUUAGAUAUCACGAAGAACUCCGAUUGCGAAGGCAGCCUACAAGGCCUUUACUGACGCUAAAGCUCGAAGGUGCGGGUAUCGAACAGGAUUAGAUACCCUGGUAGUCCGCACGGUAAACGAUGGAUGCCCGCUGUUCGCGAUAGACUGUGAGCGGCCAAGAGAAAUCGUUAAGCAUCCCACCUGGGGAGUACGCCGGCAACGGUGAAACUCAAAGGAAUUGACGGGGGCCCGCACAAGCGGAGGAACAUGUGGUUUAAUUCGAUGAUACGCGAGGAACCUUACCCGGGCUUGAACUGCCAGCGAACGAUACAGAGAUGUUGAGGCCCUUCGGGGCGCUGGUGGAGGUGCUGCAUGGUUGUCGUCAGCUCGUGCCGUGAGGUGUCGGCUUAAGUGCCAUAACGAGCGCAACCCUUUUCAUUAGUUGCCAUCAGGUGAUGCUGGGCACUCUGGUGAUACUGCCACCGUAAGGUGUGAGGAAGGUGGGGAUGACGUCAAAUCAGCACGGCCCUUACGUCCGGGGCUACACACGUGUUACAAUGGGUGGUACAGAGGGCAGGAUGCACGCAAGUGCGUUCAAAUCUUAAAAGCCAUCCUCAGUUCGGAUUGGGGUCUGCAACCCGACCCCAUGAAGCUGGAUUCGCUAGUAAUCGCGCAUCAGCCAUGGCGCGGUGAAUACGUUCCCGGGCCUUGUACACACCGCCCGU